rnacentral:rRNA from 1 species
UACGUAGGGGGCAAGCGUUGUCCGGAAUUAUUGGGCGUAAAGAGCGUGUAGGCGGCCAGAUAAGUCCGCUGUGAAAUCUCGAGGCUCAACUUCGAGCUGUCGGUGGAAACUAUCUGGCUAGAGUCCGGAAGAGGAGAAUGGAAUUCCUGGUGUAGCGGUGAAAUGCGCAGAUAUCAGGAGGAACACCGGUGGCGAAGGCGGGUCUCUGGGCCGUAACUGACGCUGAGGAGCGAAAGCGUGGGGAGCGAACAGG